UAGCUCAGUUGGUUAGAGCACCUGACUCAUAAUCAGGUGGUCCCUGGUUCGAGCCC
rnacentral:tRNA from 1 species